CUUGACAUAUACAGGAAUGUUGUAGAGAUACAGCAGCCGCUUGCGGUCUGUAUACAGGUGCUGCAUGGCUGUCGUCAGCUCGUGCUGUGAAGUGUUGGGUUAAGUCCCGCAACGAGCGCAACCCUAUCAUCUGUUGCCAGCAUUUAAGGUGGGGACUCAGAUGAGACUGCCGGUGACAAACCGGAGGAAGGUGGGGACGACGUCAAGUCAUCAUGGCCCUUAUGUCCUGGGCUACACACGUGCUACAAUGGCCGGUACAGAGUGAAGCGAAACCGCGAGGUGAAGCAAAACGCAGAAAGCCGGUCUCAGUACGGAUUGGAGUCUGAAACUCGACUUCAUGAAGUUGGAAUCGCUAGUAAUCGCGCAUCAGCAUGGCGCGGUGAAUACGUUCCCGGGCCUU
rnacentral:rRNA from 1 species